rnacentral:lncRNA from 1 species
AACGCAGCUCCGCCCAAUCCUACCAUGCUCAACCAGUUCUCACCGCACCACCACAACCCCUACUCCUCAAAGGACCAUCAUCCAAGACGAAGACCACUAUCAAGGUACCAAUCGGUACAAGGAUCCUUCCACCUAGACCCAAUGAGAGGGUCGUUGGAGGCAAGACCAACCGAAGCGGCGAGAUCUGCAGUAUUCGCUACACUACGGAGGAGGAAAGGCCUUACUUUGAAGGGAUUAGAGCAUCCAAAGUCCGUUUCAUCCCUCCAAAGGCAGCCCCGAAGCACUCUCUCAAUGCUUUUGAGACACCUCCCAAGUGUCGCAAGACUAUAAUGGAUAUUGAUGAGGAAGUUCGCAAGCUAGAUAGAGUUAUCAUAGACCUCUAGUCCUCGAUUAAUUCCCUCACUAGGCAGCUCUCUAACCACAACACCGUUAUAUUAGGCCUUAGGCAGGAUCUUGCCAGUGCCAACAAGAAGAUCAAGGAAUUAGAGCGCCGUUAAGUUAUCUAGAUUAGACCUUGAGGCAAUGCAUCUUAGUCAUUUAUCUUUAAAUUCGGUUUAGGUUUACUAUUAUCAUCAGUUUACUAUUAUUAUCAGUUUGCUAUCAGUUUGUUAUCAGUCUUUUGUACUAAAUGCCUCAAGAUCAAUAAAGAGUAUUACUAUUAUUAUUAUGUCUUGUGUGUCACUACUUUAUUUUUGUGCAAAAAGCAGGAAACAAGUAUGGGGGAGAUCCCUUAACAUGCCAAACACACUCCGACUACACCACUCCACGAUUCAGGUACACACUCUGCACACUUUACUUCAUACAUACAUUUAUUUUGGAUUAUGCAGAUUACUGUUUCCGACAUGAUAAAAUAAAAAGAUUAAAAUAUUUCUAAUCAUGAUUAAUCUCAAUCUGUGAUAUUUCCUGAAAACUUGCAAUUAUUAUAAAAUCAUUUUAAAACCCUGUGUUACUCAAGUCAAUAUGGAAUAUGUGAUGGUAGAGUAUGAGUUUCUUAUUCUUGAUAUCAUUGUUGCUUGGAGAAUUUAUUUCAAAAUAUUCAAAAUUCUAGCUACCAUCCUCAGUGUUUUACAUGCCUGAUAAAAAUAAAAAUAUUAAUGAUGAUUAUAAAGCUAUCUACUCUGUAUUGAGUUUGUUCAAAAUGAGUUAGACCCUUGCUGAGAGAUUUAUCAUGCUCCUAAGAUCAAGACAUUAUUUCAGAAAGAUUCACUCUUCCAAAGUAUUAUUGCAUUAGAGGCAUGGGCUAUGCAAAAAUAAAAAUAUUUCGAGGAAAUAAAAAGGAGCAAGUGCUCGACAACCUCGCAGAAAAAAUGGACAAGUGUCCGGUAGUAGAAUUAGGGGUACCUCAGUAUCCACUUAAAAAAAAGAAGAAAAGAGAAAAAAAUGAUAGCCCAUGGUCCCUCUAAUAAGCAAUAUGCCAGCAAGAGUUGACAAAGUUUUUAAUUUCCAAAGUCUUUGAUCUAAGAGUAUGACAUUCCCCUCCUCGGAUCCUGUUUUGAUCAGACAAUAAAUGCAAAGUAAGAAUGCUUGAGAAUUUUUGCAAAAAUAAAACAGCCUCAGUGAGAUAUAUAUAAAAGAUAAUGAGUGAUCUAAGAGAACCUAUGAGGAUAAAAAGGUAUGCUAACUUUCUUUCAAAAAUAUACAAAAGCUCCAAGUGGCAGGAUUGAGAAGAAAGGAUCUUUACUCUUAACCAUAAACAUCCCUGACUAUGGUACACAGUGGAAUUUUAACACCCUGCAAUUAUAUAAAGAGAAUGUUUUAAAUGUUUUACCCCAGAUAUUUUUCUUAACCAUCCUUUUCUCGAGGACGAGUAAAAGCCUAAGUAUGGGGGUAUUUGUUGACGGUUCUUAAGUAUCAAUUUUAAUUAUCAAAUAAACAAGAGAAAGGACCAAGAUGCAAACAACACCUAGAAUUAGGGUUUGAUCUAACAGAAUUCCACGAGUUUUGUUGUUUAUCUGUUUCUGCAGGGGGUUAUCAGGAAAUAAGGAAGAAAGGCCUACAUGUCGGGAUUACAUAGAGAUAUCAACGCACCGCGCAAUUUUACAUCAUCUAGAAGACCCCAGAAGCCACGAGACCGAAGCGGAGGCAAAACUGGGCCAGGCCUAGGGCGCCAGCCCUGGUAGCCUGGGCGGCCGCCCCCCUGCUGGAGCCAAAUCAGGACUCUUUCGUUCGGGAUAUUCCACCGAUCUAUUGGAUCAAGAAAAACAUAGUACCACCUCGGCUAUCGACCCAAAAAUGCAUAGAAGGGGAGGACUAUAUAAGCAAGGCCCCCUGGCCCCUGGGAAGACAUGAAGAAAUUAUCAUAGAGACUGAGGGGUGCCCUCGAAGGAAAACCUCUUCUCUAAUUAAUAUUUCUUUUUAGGCUUAGCAAUCAAUGUAAGGUAGAAAUAGAUCUUCUAGUUUCUACUAGAUUGAGAGAGAUAGAGUGGAGGUGUAGAGUGGAGGAAGCCCGGCCUGUCGGUGUCUACUCCAAGCUUGUACUUGCGGGAUCAAGUUCUCCUAACCCGAAGCUUGCUCCUAGGAUUCUUCAGUAAUUCGACUUCUAAAUUCUAGUAAGUUCUUGUUUUAUUGUUCUUAUGGUUUAUGAUUUUACUUUAAUCUCUUCGCG